rnacentral:rRNA from 1 species
CUACGGGCGGCUGCAGUGGGGAAUAUUGCGCAAUGGGCGAAAGCCUGACGCAGCAACGCCGCGUGAGUGAUGAAGGUUUUCGGAUCGUAAAGCUCUGUCAGGAGGGACGAAACACCGAUGGGAACAAUACCCCAACGGUUUGACGGUACCUCCAAAGGAAGCACCGGCUAACUCCGUGCCAGCAGCCGCGGUAAUACGGAGGGUGCUAGCGUUGUUCGGAAUCACUGGGCGUAAAGCGCGUGUAGGCGGAAGGAGAAGUCGGGUGUGAAAGCCCUGGGCUCAACCCAGGAAGUGCGCUCGAAACCAUCUUUCUUGAGGUUCGGAGGGGAUCGGGGAAUUUCCAGUGUAGAGGUGAAAUUCGUAGAUAUUGGAAAGAACACCGGUGGCGAAGGCGCCGAUCUGGACGAACACUGACGCUGAGACGCGAAAGCGUGGGGAGCAAACAGGAUUAGAUACCCUAGUAGUC